rnacentral:rRNA from 1 species
AUUGAACGCUGGCGGCAGGCCUAACACAUGCAAGUCGAGCGAGCGGCGGACGGGUGAGUAAUGUCUGGGCAACUGCCUGCUGGAGGGGGAUAACUACUGGAACCGGUAGCUAAUCCCGCAUACCAUCAGAGGUGCCCAGCUGGGAUUAGCUAGUAGGUGGGGUAACGGCUCACCUAGGCGACGAUCCCUAGCUGGUCUGAGUGGAUGAUCAGCCACACGGGAGCUGAGACACGGUCCAUGGUCCUAGGAGAGGCAGCAGUGGGGAAUAUUGCACAAUGGGCGCAAGCAUGAUGCAGCUGUGCCACGUGUAUGAAGAAGGCCUUCGGGGUGUAAAGUACUUUCAGCGGGGAGGCGUUACCCGCAGAAGAAGCACCGGCUAACGCCGUGCCAGCAGCCGCGGUAAUUC